rnacentral:rRNA from 1 species
AACGCGAAGAACCUUACCUGGGCUUGAACUGUGGUGGACCGGCUUUGAAAGAGGUCUUCCCCUUCGGGGGCCGCCAUAGAGGUGCUGCAUGGCUGUCGUCAGCUCGUGUCGUGAGAUGUUGGGUUAAGCCCCGCAACGAGCGCAACCCCUGUCUCAUGUUGCCAGCACGUAAUGGUGGGGACUCGUGAGAGACUGCCGGGGUCGACUCGGAGGAAGGUGGGGAUGACGUCAAGUCAUCAUGCCCCUUAUGUCCAGGGCUACACACGUGCUACAUUGGCCGGUACAAACCGUGGCGAGCCCGUGAGGGGGAGCGAAUCCCAAAAAGCCGGUCUCAGUUCGGAUUGGGGUCUGCAACUCGACCCCAUGAAGUUGGAGUCGCUAGUAAUCGCAGAUCAGCAAUGCUGCGGUGAAUACGUUCCCGGGCCUUGUACACACCG